rnacentral:rRNA from 1 species
UACGAAGGGGGCUAGCGUUGUUCGGAAUUACUGGGCGUAAAGCGUGCGCAGGCGGUUCUAUAAGACAGAUGUGAAAUCCCCGGCUCAACCUGGGAACUGCAUUUGUGACUGUAGAGCUGGAGUACGGCAGAGGGGGAUGGAAUUCCGCGUGUAGCAGUGAAAUGCGUAGAUAUGCGGAGGAACACCGAUGGCGAAGGCAAUCCCCUGGGCCUGUACUGACGCUCAUGCACGAAAGCGUGGGGAGCAAACAGG